rnacentral:rRNA from 1 species
UGUCUUUUAGAAAAUAAUUAAAAGUYUAAUYUGCUCCAUGAAAAAAUUAAAUAGCUGCAGAAUCCUAACUGUACAAAGGUAGCAUAAUCAAUAGUUUUUUAAUUNGAAAGCUGGAAUGAAUGAUUUAAUAAGGUAAAUAUUGUCUCUAAUAUAAAAAAUUUAUAAUUUUUUUUUUAGUAAAAAUACUAAAUUGAUUUUAAAAGACGAGAAGACCCUAUAGAUUUUUAUAUUUAUUUUAUUAGUAAAUUAUAAUAAAUAAUUAUUUUUUAGUAAAUAUAAUAUUAAAUUGGGGUAAUUAUUAAAUUUAAUAAAUUUUAAAAAUUUAAAACAAAAAUUAUUGAAAAAAUUGAUCUUAAAUUUUAGAUUAAUAGAAUAAAAUACCUUAGGGAUAACAGCGUAAUUUUUUUAGAAAGUUCAUAUUGAUAAAUAAGUUUGCGACCUCGAUGUUGAAUUAAGAUAAAAUUUUAAAGUAGAGUUUAAAA